rnacentral:lncRNA from 1 species
AUCACUGAACUAUGGAAACCAUAUGAGGACUUUCCCCUUAUCGAUCUGGGAGAAGGCUACUACAUAGUAAAAUUCAACAAACAAGAAAACAUGGAAGCUACCUUACAAAAAGGCCAAUGGUUCAUAUUUGGAGACUUCUUAUCUGUACAAAGAUGGGAGCCUAACUUUGUCCCCUCCAGAGCAAAAUAAUUUUUUACUGCUCUAUAGAAUCGAC